rnacentral:rRNA from 1 species
GUGGGGAAUAUUGGACAAUGGGGGAAACCCUGAUCCAGCAAUGCCGCGUGAGUGAUGAAGGCCUUCGGGUUGUAAAGCUCUUUUGGCGGGGACGAUGAUGACGGUACCCGCAGAAUAAGCCCCGGCUAACUUCGUGCCAGCAGCCGCGGUAAUACGAAGGGGGCUAGCGUUGUUCGGAAUUACUGGGCGUAAAGGGCGCGUAGGCGGCUUGGUAAGUUGGACGUGAAAGGCCUGGGCUCAACCUGGGACAUGCGUUCGAAACUGCUGGGCUUGAGUGUGGGAGAGGAUGGUGGAAUUCCCAGUGUAGAGGUGAAAUUCGUAGAUAUUGGGAAGAACACCGGUGGCGAAGGCGGCCAUCUGGACCACAACUGACGCUGAGGCGCGAAAGCGUGGGGAGCAAACAGGAUUAGAAACCCGAGUAGUCC